UCCAGAAAGCCUUUAAGGCAGUGAGAACAUCCAAGUCACUAUUUUUGGUGGAUCACUAGCAUUUCUCAAGCUGCAUUCUGGCAUGAAACAAGUUAUGUUUUUAAUCCUUUGAGUCACAAAGAUCAUCUCUUAGGAUGAGAAAGUUUUACGAUUAAGAAAUGAUAGUUUUCAUAUCUCCACGGUGCUUCACCAAGUUCUUUGCCCAUUGCUCAGCCUCUUCGCCACGUUGCCAUCGUGACUGGAUAAAUGAAUGCCGACAUUAAUGGAAAAAAUAAAAGUGGGCCCACAGUCAAGCCAUUGAGACAAGCC
ensembl:lncRNA